ACUUAAAUUGAAGAGUUUGAUCAUGGCUCAGAUUGAACGCUGGCGGCAGGCCUAACACAUGCAAGUCGAGCGGUAGCACAGAGAGCUUGCUCUCGGGUGACGAGCGGCGGACGGGUGAGUAAUGUCUGGGAAACUGCCUGAUGGAGGGGGAUAACUACUGGAAACGGUAGCUAAUACCGCAUAACGUCGCAAGACCAAAGUGGGGGACCUUCGGGCCUCAUGCCAUCAGAUGUGCCAGAUGGGAUUAGCUAGUAGGUGGGGUAACGGCUCACCUAGGCGACGUCCCUAGCUGGUCUGAGAGGAUGACCAGCCACACUGGAACUGAGACACGGUCCAGACUCCUACGGGAGGCAGCAGUGGGGAAUAUUGCACAAUGGGCGC
rnacentral:rRNA from 1 species